rnacentral:rRNA from 1 species
UCCUGAUUCGUCAGGAGAGUAAAGUGGCGAAUGGGUGAGUAAGGUGAGGGUAAUCUACCCUUAAAUUAGGGAUAACUUUGCGAAAGCGAAGCUAAUACCUGAUAAGACUACUAUCUCUUAGGAGAAAGUAGGAAAAGAUGGCCUCUGUUUCAUGCUGUCGUUUAAGGAUGAGCCCUUAUACUAUUAGCUAGUUGGUGAGGUAAUGGCUCACCAAGGCAACGAUGGUUAGCUGGUCUGAGAGGAUGAUCAGCCACACUGGAACUGAGACACGGUCUAGACUCCUACGGGAGGCAGCAGUGAGGAAUAUUGCGCAGUGGGGGAAACCCUGACGCAGUGACGCCUCGUGAGUGAUGAAGGCUUUCGAGUCGUAAAGCUCUGUUAGGUGGAAAGAAAUAUUCCAGUGAUAAUACCAUUGGGAUUUGACGGUACCACCAGAGGAAGCACCGGCUAACUCCGUGCCAGCAGCCGCGGUAAUACGGAGGGUGCAAGCGUUGUUCGGAAUUAUUGGGCGUAAGGGGCGUGUAGGCGGUUAGGCAAGUCAGAUGUGAAAUCCCUUAGCUUAACUAAGGAAGUGCAUUUGAAACUGCUUAACUAGAGUACGGGAGGGGAAAGUGGAAUUCCCAGUGUAGAGGUGAAAUUCAUAGAUAUUGGGAGGAACACCGGUGGCGAAGGCGGCUUUCUGGCCCGAUACUGACGCUGAGACGCG